UACGUAGGGGGCAAGCGUUGUUCGGAAUUACUGGGCGUAAAGGGCUCGUAGGCGGCCAACUAAGUCAGACGUGAAAUCCCUCAGCUUAACUGGGGAACUGCGUCUGAUACUGGAUGGCUUGAGUUUGGGAGAGGGACGCGGAAUUCCAGGUGUAGCGGUGAAAUGCGUAGAUAUCUGGAGGAACACCGGUGGCGAAGGCGGCGUCCUGGACCAACACUGACACUGAGGAGCGAAAGCCAGGGGAGCAAACGGG
rnacentral:rRNA from 1 species